AUGAAUGUAGAUGCCACAACUGCCUCCUCAAUUGUGCAGAUUUUUGGUUGUGCCACUGCUGGGUUUCCCCAAACCUAUCUCGGUCUUCCCCUCUCCCCCACCAAGCUCCCCCCCUCGGCCUUCCAGCCUCUCAUCUCUUCUUUCCGAUCCCUCCUGCCCGGCUGGUGCGUGAAACUGCUCAAUCGAGCUGGGAGGCUCGUGCUCAUUUCCGCCGUUCUGGACUCUUUCUCAACCUACUUUUUGUCAGUUUUCAAAAUUCCGAAGAAGACACUAAAGACGCUGGACGCCAUUAGACGGGCCUUCUUUUGGGCUGCCGAGGAGACAUGCUCAGGCUCCAAAUGCUUGAUUGCUUGGAAAAAUGUUUGCAAACCGAAAAUUUAUGGUGGUCUAGGCAUUAAGAACUUAGCUACACAGAAUGUCUUCUUAUGA
rnacentral:rRNA from 1 species